CGCACAUUGCGCCCUUUGGUAUUCCAAAGGGCAUGCCUGUUCGAGCGUCAUUUGUACCUUCAAGCUUUGCUUGGUGUUGGGCGUUUUUGUCUCUUUCUGGGAGACUCGCCUUAAAACGAUUGGCAGCCGGCCUACUGGUUUCGGAGCGCAGCACAUAUUUUGCGCUUUGUAUCAGGAGAAAAGGACGGUAAUCCAUCAAGACUCUACAAUCUUUAACUUUUGACCUCGGAUCAGGUAGGGAUACCCGCUGAACUUAA
rnacentral:misc_RNA from 1 species